rnacentral:rRNA from 1 species
UCAGACGAUGCGUCAUGCAUAUCAAUAAGCGGAGGAAAAGAAACUAACAAGGAUUCCCCUAGUAACGGCGAGUGAAGCGGGAAGAGCUCAAAUUUGAAAUCUUAAAGGGUUUCCCUUUACGAAUUGUAGUUUAAAGAAGUGUUUUCUGUUGAGGUUUUGGUAAAAGUUCUUUGGAAUAGGACAUCAUAGAGGGUGAGAAUCCCGUAUUUGACCUUUACUUUCAACUUUGUGAUACACUUUCAAAGAGUCGGAUUGUUUGGGAAUGCAGUCCAAAAUGGGUGGUAAAUUUCAGUCUAAAGCUAGAUAUUGGCGAGAGACCGAUAGCGAACAAGUACCGUGAGGGAAAGAUGAAAAGAACUUUGAAAAGAGAGUUAAACAGUACGUGAAAUUGUCAAAAGGGAAGCGUUUGACACCAGUGUUGUUUUUCUGAAAAUCAAUUAAAGAACUGUUUAUGCUAAGCUGUUUAGACUUUAUCAGCUAUCUGUUUAGUUUUGAGCUUUUCUUUAAUGCACUUUUCAGUUAACAAGUCAACAUCAAUUUCUUUUGCUGUAAAAAAGCUUGAGGAAGGUGGCUUGAGAUUCGUCUUAAGUGUUUAUAGCCUCUUGCCUAUGCAGUCGGAGAGAUUGAGGUCUGCAGCGUAGAUCCUUCGGGGCUAAAUGCAUUUGUGCUAAGUUAUAGCAUUUUAUAGACAACUUGUUGACUAUGAUUUGUCUUGUAGCUUACUCGCUUAUGUUAUUUUACCUACGCUUAGGAUGUUGACACACGCGCGUGCUC